rnacentral:lncRNA from 1 species
UUUUGAUGUUAGAAAAGCAAGUCUCCAGUGAAACUCUGUAUAGUGAAACUAUCCAGGAGCCUGCUCUGUGUUUGAAAGACUUUCUUCUUAGAUUUUUAUCCUCUUUCUCUGAAGAACUCCAGAAAUCAGUAAAUACCUAUCAUACUCAGUGGAACCAACACUGAAGAUCUCAGUUUGAAGCACUGGAGCAGGUUGUUCUGAAAGGUCACCAGGAAGCUGAAGAAAUUCUCAGUUAUAGUAAAUGCCUUGAGUAGACAAAUGUAUGCAUACUUUAUUUGUCCACCAAAUUUUUGAAGGAGAGAGAAGACGAAAGAUGUGAAAACAAUUAUGUAACCUAUGAAAGACAGAGAAAGUUUGUUUCUGUUGACUGGACAAGAAGCAAUGAAGCCUGUGCAAUAGAGAAAAAAAUGGAGAUUGGCAUAUAAACACAUAUCAGCAUUUAUCAAGGCCGGUGGAGAAGAGAUAUCUUCUGAUCUAUAAAGCCUAGCCCUGUAUUUGUGAAUGUAAAGAUUCCUGUCUUAUCUAAGAGCAAUACUACCAAAAUGCACAGAUGACAGAAAAAUCAUUUGAAAUAUCCUAUUUCUUUAGUUUAUGGUUCAUUACCAAAACACACUGCUUGAUAGCUUGACCACCUUUGUGAGCUUGUUUUUAAAUUCUACUCAUAAAUACUGUCAGUUAUAUUCUUAGAUCAUAUAUUAAAGUUUUUUUUUGUUUUUUUAGAUGGAGUGUCACUUUGUCCCCCAGGCUGGAGUGCAGUGGGGCGAUCUUGGUCCACUGCAACCUCUGCUCCGGGGAUCAAGUGAUUCUCCUGCUUCAGCCUCCCGAGUAGCUGGGAUUACAGGCAACCGCCACUUCUAGCUGCAUAUUUUUUCCACCUAUAAUUUUUUUGAGACCUUAAUUAUUUCGGUCUACAAUCUGCGUCUAGCAGGACUACACAGACAGCAGUUCUAAAACUUCUUUUAGCUACUUGAGAUAUUAAAUAUUUCACAUAUAUUAACAGUUUUAUAUCCCAGCAAUGGAUUCCAAAGUUGUGGCAUUGCUACCACUUAGUACUUUUGAUUUUAAGUAAAAUUACAGUAGAAAAUUUCUGGAAGUAUUCUUAGUUGAGUGUUAACUGCAGGUAUCAUGAUGUAUUUUUUAACCUAACUUGAGUCGUUCAGUUGAAUAUCUUUUAUCUUAUUUUAAAAUUUUUUCAUUAAUCAUUUUCACAUAUUUUUAUAAUUCUUAUUAGAUGUAUUGAAACAAAUAAUUAUUAAGAAGAACUAUUGUUUUACUCAUUGAUGUAUCCUUCAAAGAUAUGUAAUAUGCCAAUGUAAUGGACUCUGUAUUGGUUAUCUAUUGCUACAAUAAUGUGUAAUCAACAACCUCACAUCUCAAUGCUUAAGUCAAUAAGCUCUUUUAAAUUCACAUGCGUAUGGGUUGGCUAGGGGAUAAUCUGGUCUCAGUGACCUGUGAUGCUCAUGUGUACAUCUGUGAUUAGUAGUAGGCAGGUAGGUGGCUUCGUUUAGCUGGUUUCUCACAGGUCUGGCCUCAACUAACAUGACUCAGCUCUCCUCCACUUGUUCUCUCAUUCUCCAGCAAGCUAGCUUGGGUAUGUUCUGAAAGUCUAGUCAGAGAAAUAAGGAAGAGAAGGACAUAAGCAUUCAAGGGUUCUUGAACUCUGAUUUGGAAAUAAAAUACUGUCACUUCUUUCAUAUUCUAUUUUCUAAAAGCAAGUCACAAAGCCAUUCCAAAUUCAAGAUUCAGGAAAUAAGAUCCUACACUUUCAAAGGACCUACAAUGUCAUGUUGUCAAGGGCAUGAACACAGAAAAGAAGGGUAUGGGAUCUGGGACAUUUUUAUAAUCAAUCAAUUUUUCUUUUGUUAGUUUUACUUGUUUUAAAUGUAUACUCUUUGAAAAGGAAAAAAAUUAACUUCUCUCUGACAGUUUUCAUGGUCGUAUGUCUGUGCAUAUAUUUUGUUAAUUUCUACCCUAUUUUAAAAUUAUUUGCAUUCUGCCAUUUUUGAGGCAUUAUUUUAAUAAUAGUUUACAAGUGUCCAGUUACAUGCUUAGGUCCUAAAUUUUCAGUUACUUUUUCUCCUUAUAUAGAAGCAAAUAUUUAAAUUCCUUAUACAAUAACAAUUUAUUUUUAUCUUGC